rnacentral:rRNA from 1 species
GAGUUUGAUCCUGGCUCAGGACGAACGCUGGCGGUGCGCCUUAUGCAUGCAAGUCGAGCGAAGCUUUUCAGUAGUUUACUACAGAAAAUGACUGAGCGGCGAACGGGUGAGUAACGCGUGAGCAAUCUACCUUAGUUACAGGGAUAGCCCGAGGAAACUCGGAUUAAUACCUGAUAUUCUUUAUUUCUCGCAUGAGAAUAAAAGGAAAGGUCAGCCGAACUAAGAUGAGCUCGCGUUCUAUCAGCUAGUUGGUGAGGUAAAAGCUUACCAAGGCUACGACGGAUAGCUGGUCUGAGAGGACGAUCAGCCACACUGGGACUGAGACACGGCCCAGACUCCUACGGGAGGCUGCAGCAGGGAAUAUUGUGCAAUGAACGAAAGUUUGACACAGCGACACCGCGUGUGGGAUGACGGAUCUAGGUUUGUAAACCACUUUCAGGAGGGAAGAAAAUGACGGUACCUCCACAAGAAGCCCCGGCCAACUACGUGCCAGCAGCCGCGGUAAUACGUAGGGGGCGAGCGUUGUCCGGAUUUAUUGGGCGUAAAGAGCUCGUAGGCGGUUCAACAAGUCGGUAGUAAAAGUUCAGGGCUCAACCCUGAAAUGUCUAUCGAUACUGUUGUGACUAGGAUACGGCAGAGGUGAGUGGAAUUCCGAGUGUAGCGGUGAAAUGCGUAGAUAUUCGGAGGAACACCAAUUGCGAAGGCAGCUCACUGGGCCGCUAUCGACGCUGAGGAGCGAAAGCUAGGGGAGCAAACAGGAUUAGAUACCCUGGUAGUCCUAGCUGUAAACGAUGGAUACUAGACGUAGGAACUGGAUUGACGGUUUCUGUGUCGUAGCUAACGCGUUAAGUAUCCCGCCUGGGGAGUACGGUCGCAAGACUAAAACUCAAAGGAAUGACGGGACCCCGCACAAGCGGCGGAGCAUGCGGCUUAAUUCGAUGAUACCCGUAGAACCUUACCUGGACUUGACAUAUAGGGUCAAGCUAUAGAGAUAUAGUGUGCAUUAGCGCCCUAUACAGGUGGUGCAUGGCUGUCGUCAUCUCGUGUCGUGAGAUGUUGGGUUAAGUCCCGCAACGAGCGCAACCCCUGCCCUAUGUUGCCAGCAUUUAGUUGGGGACUCAUAGGAGACUGCCGGUGAUAAGCCGGAGGAAGGUGGGGACGACGUCAAGUCAUCAUGCCCCUUAUGUCCAGGGCUGCACGCAUGCUACAAUGGCAAGUACAACGAGUCGCAAUACCGCGAGGUGGAGCAAAUCUCUCAAAGCUUGUCUCAGUUCGGAUAGGAGUCUGCAACUCGACUCCUUGAAGUUGGAGUCGCUAGUAAUCGCAAAUCAGCAAAGUUGCGGUGAAUACGUUCUCGGGGUUUGUACUCACCGCCCGUC